AUUGAACGCUGGCGGCAGGCCUAACACAUGCAAGUCGCGCGAGCGGCGGACGGGUGAGUAAUGUAUGGGGACUGCCCGAUAGAGGGGGAUAACUACUGGAAACGGUGGCUAAUACCGCAUACUGUCGGAUAACCCAUAUGGGAUUAGCUAGUAGGUAAGGUAAUGGGUUCACUAGGCGACGAUCCCUAGCUGGUCUGAGAGGAUGAUCAGCCACACCGGGACUGAGCCACGGCCCCGAUUCCUACGGAGGCAGGAGUUGGGUAUAUUGCACAAUGGGCGCAAGCCUGAUGCAGCCAUGCCGCGUGUAUGAAGAAGGUCCUAUGGUUGUAAAGUACUUUCAGGCGGUAGGCGUUACCGUCUGGAGAAGCCCCGGCUAUCUCCGUGCCAGCCGCCGCGGUAAUAC
rnacentral:rRNA from 1 species